AGCAGUCGCCGCGGGAAUACGUAGGUGGCAAGCGUUGUCCGGAAUUAUUGGGCGUAAAGGGCUCGCAGGCGGUUUCUUAAGUCUGAUGUGAGAGCCCCCGGCUCAACCGGGGAGGGACAUUGGAAACUGGGAAACUUGAGUGCAGAAGAGGAGAGUGGAAUUCCACGUGUAGCGGUGAAAUGCGUAGAGAUGUGGAGGAACACCAGUGGCGAAGGCGACUCUCUGGUCUGUAACUGACGCUGAGGAGCGAAAGCGUGGGGAGCGAACAGGAUUAGAUACCCCAGUAGUCCCUGUCUCUUAUAC
rnacentral:rRNA from 1 species